CUCUUGUAUCAAGUGGACUGACUCAAAUCUGGACUCUAGUUAUAGAAUAAAGUGUCGGAAACCCAGGGUAGAGGAGGGAGCUGGCUUUGAUGUGAUUGAUGGGCUCCUGGGUUGUGGACCUAUCAUAGCUGUGUUACCUGGGUUCGUGCUAAACAGUAGGCCUGGAGCGCCUGAGAAUCACCUGGAGGCAUAGCUCCCAUCAGCUGUUGGAUCUCCAAGAUUAGUUGAGAUGUGGUACUAGUUGGGCUGUGGAGUAUCAGGUGAAUGCGGGCCCUGAAGCAGGAAGUGGGAAGCAGGAAGCAGGAAGUGAGAAGCAGAAAGCAGGAAUCAGGAAACAGGAAGCAGGAAGCAGGAAGCAGAAAACACUCUCCAUUCAUCCUCAUACAGCUUGCCUACUGCCAAGUAGACAGUCAAUAAACAAGGAAAUAAUUAGUUGCACGGCUCAUUAGGAAGGGACUUAUUCCAAGAACAACAAAAAUCAAGUGGGAAGGGGAAUGAAGGCUCAGAGCAGGGGAUUACUUUCCAUCCAGGUGGCUGUGAUAGGAAUGGAGGCUGUGAGCAACUGCCAGGGGGGAAGGAACAUUCUAAGACAAUGCAGUCCCUGGUGCAACAGCCCAUGUGGCAGGACAUACCUGAAACACACGUGGCAUGGAAAGGCAGAUGUGGAAGCUGUCCCUGGUAGUGGAGCAAGGUGUCCAAGCCACCCAGCUAGCAGGCAGUAGAACUCACACCUGCCUUGUCCUGAGAGGUCUUCCUGUUGGAAGCAUUGUCAAGGCUCAUCAAGUGCACUGAAACUGAGGGAAGGUCUGUCAGGCUGGGAACCCAGGGCACAGUCAAGGAUGUAAGCUGGGACUCUGAGGUCUGCCUCCGAGUUCUGUGUGUCCUGCAGCAACCACAUUCCUGUUUCUCCCAUGUGCUAUUCUGCUGGACAUUUUUCUCUUUGAUUUGAUGGCUAUACAAUUAAUCUCAUCUGACAGGUGAGGGGGGUCUCCCCUGCCAUGGUCACCAAGCUUCCUGGAGAGUAAAUAUUGAUUUUAGGAACUGGGGUGGAGGGCAGAUUCACUUGUGAAUCGAUUCUGAGUCAAACCACAUCUUGAGUGGCAUCCUGUGAUGAAGGAUGGUACCUUGUCCUUUUGGCUGGCACACUGAGUGUGAGAGGAGGCGGGGGCUCUCCACAGACCACCAGAAAAAAAAAAAGGAGCUCCACACAACAUCCUUGAUGAACGAAUGCUGGGCCUACCCUGGAAUGAGGUUGUCUGAUGAAGGGACUGUUGGCAGACCCUUCUGAGUAACAUGCACAGGGUUUGGCUCUGUGAGGACUGAGAGGCUUCAGUCAGCUGAGCCCUGUGCCCUGCACUGGAGCACAAGUCGUCUUAUACACCCAGUCUGCUUAGGAAAGAAGCCAUGUGUCUCCAAUACUCACGUGGGUCUGAGCUGCCUGUUUUCUGUUUUGGAGGCCAGUCUUCAGCUUCCCUGGAAAGACUAGGGUGUCCUUACCUGGAUGACUUGUUUCAGUAGUACCAUCACUAAAUGGCUCUCAAGGAGACUUGCAUGUCCCAGGAGUGGAGGACAAAGAGACAAGAGCCCAAACACACCUUAGGGUGAAAUGAAGUCUCACUGCUAUAGCAACUCCAAACUGCAGCUCAGACCUAAAGCUGAGAUGCCUGGCUUAUUGAACAGAUGCUGAGCCAUUCCACUGGUAAAAAGCUCAAGUAUACCUAG
rnacentral:lncRNA from 1 species